AUUUAUUUGUUUGUUUGAGAUAGG
rnacentral:piRNA from 1 species